CAUAUACUCCCUCCAUUCGGAAUUACUUGUCUCAAAAAUGGAUGUAUCUAGAACUAAAAUAUGUCUAGAUACAUCCAUUUCUUCGACAAGUAAUUCCGAACGGAGGGAGUACAAU
rnacentral:pre_miRNA from 1 species